rnacentral:rRNA from 1 species
AGUGAACGCUGGCGGUAGGCCUAACACAUGCAAGUCGAACGGCAGCACAGUAAGAGCUUGCUCUUACGGGUGGCGAGUGGCGGACGGGUGAGGAAUACAUCGGAAUCUACUUUUUCGUGGGGGAUAACGUAGGGAAACUUACGCUAAUACCGCAUACGACCUACGGGUGAAAGCAGGGGAUCUUCGGACCUUUCGCGAUUGAAUGAGCCGAUGUCGGAUUAGCUAGUUGGCGGGGUAAAGGCCCACCAAGGCAACGAUGCGUAGCCGGCCUGAGAGGAUGAUCGGCCACACUGGAACUGAGACACGGUCCAGACUCCUACGGGAGGCAGCAGUGGGGAAUAUUGCACAAUGGGCGAAAGCCUGACCGAGCAAUACCGCGUGGGUGAAGAAGGCCUUCGGGUUGUAAAGCCCUGUUGUUGGGGAAGAAAAGAAGCGGGUUAAUCCCCCGCUGUUCUGACGGUACCCAAAGAAAAAGCACCGGCUAACUUCGUG